rnacentral:rRNA from 1 species
UACGUAGGGUGCGAGCGUUGUCCGGAAUUAUUGGGCGUAAAGAGCGUGUAGGCGGUCCGGUAAGUCCGCUGUGAAAGUCGGGGGCUCAACCCUCGAAUGCCGGUGGAUACUGUCGGGCUAGAGUGCGGAAGAGGCGAGUGGAAUUCCUGGUGUAGCGGUGAAAUGCGUAGAGAUCGGGAGGAACACCAGUGGCGAAGGCGGGUCUCUGGGCCGUAACUGACGCUGAGGAGCGAAAGCGUGGGGAGCGAACAGG